AGAGUUUGAUCAUGGCUCAGAUUGAACGCUGGCGGCAUGCUUUACACAUGCAAGUCGAACGGCAGCGCGGGGCAACCUGGCGGCGAGUGGCGAACGGGUGAGUAAUACAUCGGAACGUACCCAGAAGUGGGGGAUAACGUAGCGAAAGUUACGCUAAUACCGCAUACGACCUAAGGGUGAAAGUGGGGGACCGCAAGGCCUCAUGCUUUUGGAGCGGCCGAUGUCUGAUUAGCUAGUUGGUGAGGUAAAGGCUCACCAAGGCGACGAUCAGUAGCUGGUCUGAGAGGACGACCAGCCACACUGGGACUGAGACGCGGCCCAGACUCCUACGGGAGGCAGCAGUGGGGAAUAUUGGACAAUGGGCGAAAGCCUGAUCCAGCAAUGCCGCGUGAGUGAUGAAGGCCCUAGGGUUGUAAAGCUCUUUUACCAGGGAUGAUAAUGACAGUACCUGGAGAAUAAGCUCCGGCUAACUCCGUG
rnacentral:rRNA from 1 species